rnacentral:rRNA from 1 species
CGGCAACAGCUCAAAUUUGAAAUCUGGUCCCUAGGGCCCGAGUUGUAAUUUGUAGAGGAUGCUUUUGGCAAGGUGCCUUCCGAGUUCCCUGGAACGGGACGCCAUAGAGGGUGAGAGCCCCGUCUGGUCGGAUACCGCGCCUCUGUAAAGCUCUUUCGAC